rnacentral:rRNA from 1 species
CCUACGGGAGGCAGCAGUGGGGAAUAUUGGGCAAUGGGCGCAAGCCUGACCCAGCAACGCCGCGUGAAGGAAGAAGGCUUUCGGGUUGUAAACUUCUUUUGACAGGGAAGAGUAGAAGACGGGACCUGUCGAAUAAGCCACGGCUAACUACGGGCCAGCAGCCGCGGUAAUACGUAGGUGGCAAGCGUUGUCCGGAUUUACUGGGUGUAAAGGGCGUGUAGCCGGGUUGACAAGUCAGAGGUGACAUCCUGCGGCGUAACCGCAGAACUGCAUUUGAAACUGUGGAUCUUGAGGCCUGGAGAGUCAGCCGCAUUUCCUAGUGUAGCGGUGAAAUGCGUCGAUAUUAGGAGGAACACCAGUGGCGCCGGCGGUCUGCUGGACAGCACCUGACGGUGGGGCGCGAACGCGUGGGGAGCCAACAGGAUUAGAUACCCCUGUAGUC